GACGAAGGGGGCUAGCGUUGUUCGGAAUUACUGGGCGUAAAGCGUGUGUAGGCGGUUGUUCAAGUCAGGUGUGAAAGCCUUGAGCUCAACUCAAGAAAUGCACUUGAUACUGAAUGACUAGAGGACCGGAGAGGAUAGUGGAAUUCCCAGUGUAGUGGUGAAAUACGUAGAGAUUGGGAAGAACACCAGUGGCGAAGGCGGCUAUCUGGACGGUUACUGACGCUAAGACGCGAAAGCGUGGGGAGCAAACAGG
rnacentral:rRNA from 1 species